rnacentral:rRNA from 1 species
UACGUAGGGGGCAAGCGUUGUCCGGAUUUAUUGGGCGUAAAGAGCGUGUAGGCGGCCAGGUAGGUCUGCUGUGAAAACUCGAGGCUUAACCUCGAGCUGUCGGCGGAAACCAUCUGGCUAGAGUCCGGAAGAGGAGAAUGGAAUUCCCGGUGUAGCGGUGAAAUGCGCAGAUAUUGGGAGGAACACCAGUGGCGAAGGCGGCUCACUGGACCGGUACUGACGCUGAUGCGCGAAAGCGUGGGGAGCAAACGGG